rnacentral:rRNA from 1 species
UUCCAGACUCCUACGGGAGGCAGCAGUGGGGAAUAUUGCACAAUGGGGGAAACCCUGAUGCAGCGACGCCGCGUGAGUGAAGAAGUAUUUCGGUAUGUAAAGCUCUAUCAGCAGGGAAGAUAAUGACGGUACCUGAGUAAGAAGCCCCGGCUAACUACGUGCCAGCAGCCGCGGUAAUACGUAGGGGGCAAGCGUUAUCCGGAUUUACUGGGUGUAAAGGGAGCGUAGACGGCAUGGCAAGUCUGAAGUGAAAGCCCGGGGCUCAACCGCGGGACUGCUUUGGAAACUGUUAAGCUGGAGUGCAGGAGAGGUAAGUGGAAUUCCUAGUGUAGCGGUGAAAUGCGUAGAUAUUAGGAGGAACACCAGUGGCGAAGGCGGCUUACUGGACUGUAACUGACGUUGAGGCUCGAAAGCGUGGGGAGCAAACAGGAUUAGAUACCCCAGUAC